ACAGGGGGAUAACAGUCAGAAAUGACUGCUAAUACCGCAUAAGACCACAGCACCGCAUGGUGCAGGGGUAAAAACUCCGGUGGUACAGGAUGGACCCGCGUCUGAUUAGCUGGUUGGUGAGGUAACGGCUCACCAAGGCGACGAUCAGUAGCCGGCUUGAGAGAGUGAACGGCCACAUUGGGACUGAGACACGGCCCAAACUCCUACGGGAGGCAGCAGUGGGGAAUAUUGCACAAUGGGGGAAACCCUGAUGCAGCGACGCCGCGUGAGUGAAGAAGUAUCUCGGUAUGUAAAGCUCUAUCAGCAGGGAAGAAAAUGACGGUACCUGACUAAGAAGCCCCGGCUAACUACGUGCCAGCAGCCGCGGUAAUACGUAGGGGGCAAGCGUUAUCCGGAAUUACUGGGUGUAAAGGGUGCGUAGGUGGUAUGGCAAGUCAGAAGUGAAAACCCAGGGCUUAACUCUGGGACUGCUUUUGAAACUGUCAGACUAGAGUGCAGGAGAGGUAAGCGGAAUUCCUAGUGUAGCGGUGAAAUGCGUAGAUAUUAGGAGGAACAUCAGUGGCGAAGGCGGCUUACUGGACUGAAACUGACACUGAGGCACGAAAGCGUGGGGAGCAAACAGGAUUAGAUACCCUGGUAGUCCACGCCGUAAACGA
rnacentral:rRNA from 1 species